rnacentral:lncRNA from 1 species
UUGAGACAACUAACAAGGCCGUGCUAGAGCAAGUGACAAAGGGUUUGGUGCCGUUGUACUCUAAAAAUUUAAGCUGUUAGAGAACGGUGUUUAAAUAUUUUUAUAUUUAACACUCCCACUCACGUCUGGACUCGAGACUUUUUAGUCGGCCCAUGACGUCGGCUUGAAUCAAAUGAGAGAAAAUUAAUUUGUUAGAAGCCUGGCGUGACUCGAACUCAGGACCUCCUUCUUUGAUACCAUGUGAAACAACCGUUGUACUCUAAAAGCUUAAGCUGUUAGAGAACGGUGUUUAAUCAUUUUUAUGUUUAACAUGGUUGGUAUCCGAGAUCCAAGUUCGAAUCCUAGUUGAUUCACAUAUCUAGCUAAGUUUAUUUCUAAAUGAAAUAAACGAAGUGGGCAGCAUGCUACCUAUCUCUUAAAAAAAAAAAAAAAACAAGGCCGCGCU